UACGUAGGGUGCGAGCGUUGAUCGGAAUUACUGGGCGUAAAGCGUGCGCAGGCGGCUUUGCAAGACAGAUGUGAAAUCCCCGGGCUUAACCUGGGAACUGCAUUUGUGACUGCAAGGCUAGAGUACGGUAGAGGGGGAUGGAAUUCCGCGUGUAGCAGUGAAAUGCGUAGAUAUGCGGAGGAACACCAAUGGCGAAGGCAACCACCUGGGCCUGCACUGACGCUGAGGUACGAAAGCGUGGGGAGCAAACAGG
rnacentral:rRNA from 1 species